rnacentral:tRNA from 1 species
GAUGCAGCUCAGCGACUGAGCACUUGCCUAGCACGCAGGAGGCCCUGGGUUCAAUUCCCAGCAUC